UACGUAGGGGGCAAGCGUUGUCCGGAAUCAUUGGGCGUAAAGCGCGCGCAGGCGGUCUUCCAAGUCAGUGGUGAAAGCCUGGAGCUCAACUCCAGAACUGCCAUUGAAACUGUUAGACUUGAGUACGAGAGAGGUGAGUCGGAAUUCCCAGUGUAGAGGUGAAAUUCGUAGAUAUUGGGAAGAACACCAGUGGCGAAGGCGGCUCACUGGCUCGUAACUGACGCUCAGGCGCGACAGCGUGGGGAUCGAAACAGG
rnacentral:rRNA from 1 species